GUUUGGUUUUCACUCUAGUGCAGUGGUUCUUAACCUGGGUUCGAUCGAACUCUAGGGGUUCGGUGAGUCAGUCUCAGGGGUUCGGUGGAGGUCCAGACACACACCCGACUCAUUAUGAUUCAUGAUGACAA